rnacentral:rRNA from 1 species
GACGAACGCUGGCGGCGUGCUUAACACAUGCAAGUCGAACGAUGAAGCCCAGCUUGCUGGGUGGAUUAGUGGCGAACGGGUGAGUAACACGUGGGCAACCUGCCCCAAACUCUGGGAUAACUCCUCGAAAGAGGUGCUAAUACCGGAUACGAACUAGACAGACAUCUGUACUAGUUGGAAAGUUUUUCGGUUUGGGAUGGGCCCGCGGCCUAUCAGCUUGUUGGUGAGGUAACGGCUCACCAAGGCUACGACGGGUAACCGGCCUGAGAGGGCAACCGGUCACACUGGGACUGAGACACGGCCCAGACUCCUACGGGAGGCAGCAGUGGGGAAUAUUGCGCAUUGGGCGAAAGCCUGACGCAGCGACGCCGCGUGAGGGAUGAAGGUCUUCGGAUCGUAAACCUCUUUCAGUAGGGACGAAGCGAAAGUGACGGUACCUAAAGAAGAAGCACCGGCUAACUACGUGCCAGCCGCCGCCGUAA